rnacentral:rRNA from 1 species
CAUGCCCCGAAUAUCCCGGGCUACACGCGAGCUACAAUGGUUGGUACAAUGGGUAUCUACCCCGAAAGGGGAACGGGAAUCUCCUAAACCAAUCUUAGUUCGGAUUGAGGGCUGCAACUCGCCCUCAUGAAGCUGGAAUCCGUAGUAAUCGCGUUUCAACAGAACGCGGUGAAUACGUCCCUGCCUCCUU